rnacentral:lncRNA from 1 species
UGCAUAGGGUGUAAGACCUUCAUUAGUGAUGUGGACGCCUGCACUGUGGAAGAGCACUCCAAGCUAUACUGUAGGCAAUGUUACAACCAGACUAUGGUGAUGUCAUCACCAAGCAGAUCCUCACCAACAUCCCUCACUCCCAUCUGCCUUUCCACAGUCACCCUAGUAUCCACCUUAACCUCAGCACAUGGCAAAUAUGACCUUUCAGUUUUCAUCAGUCCAUCUCAAGACCUCCUGGGCAGGGACACAGAGUGCUCCCACACGGUCUACUCCAGGGAGAAGUGGCCAGCUU